rnacentral:tRNA from 1 species
GGCUUCGUAGCCCAGCUGGUGGAGCGCUUGCCGCAAUUGGGCAUGGUGUUUCAGUUGCUGGUUCGAAUCCAGCCGAAGCCC